rnacentral:rRNA from 1 species
CGGGAGCAAGCCCUUCGGGGUGAGUGUACCUUUCGAAUAAGCACCGGCUAACUACGUGCCAGCAGCCGCGGUAAUACGUAGGGUGCAAGCGUUAUCCGGAAUUAUUGGGCGUAAAGGGCUCGUAGGCGGUUCGUCGCGUCCGGUGUGAAAGCCCAUCGCUUAACGGUGGGUCUGCGCCGGGUACGGGCGGGCUGGAGUGCGGUAGGGGAGACUGGAAUUCCCGGUGUAACGGUGGAAUGUGUAGAUAUCGGGAAGAACACCAAUGGCGAAGGCAGGUCUCUGGGCCGUCACUGACGCUGAGGAGCGAAAGCGUGGGGAGCGAACAGGAUUAGAUACCCUGGUAGUCCACGCCGUAAACGGUGGAUGCUGGAUGUGGGGCCCGUUCCACGGGUUCCGUGUCGGAGCUAACGCGUUAAGCAUCCCGCCUGGGGAGUACGGCCGCAAGGCUAAAACUCAAAGAAAUUGACGGGGGCCCGCACAAGCGGCGGAGCAUGCGGAUUAAUUCGAUGCAACGCGAAGAACCUUACCUGGGCUUGACAUGUUCCCGACAGCCGUAGAGAUAUGGCCUCCCUUCGGGGCGGGUUCACAGGUGGUGCAUGGUCGUCGUCAGCUCGUGUCGUGAGAUGUUGGGUUAAGUCCCGCAACGAGCGCAACCCUCGCCCUGUGUUGCCAGCACGUCAUGGUGGGAACUCACGGGGGACCGCCGGGGUCAACUCGGAGGAAGGUGGGGAUGACGUCAGAUCAUCAUGCCCCUUACGUCCAGGGCUUCACGCAUGCUACAAUGGCCGGUACAGCGGGAUGCGACAUGGCGACAUGGAGCGGAUCCCUGAACACCGGUCUCAGUUCGGAUUGGAGUCUGCAACCCGACUCCAUGAAGGCGGAAUCGGUAGUAACCGCGGA